rnacentral:rRNA from 1 species
UAUCCUCUGUGGGCGUUGGAAAUUUGAGGGGUUCAUUCCUUAGUACGAGAGGACCGGGAAUGACGUAUCCCUGGUGUUCCGGUUGUCGCGUCAGCGGCAGCGCCGGGUAGCUAAAUACGGAAAGGAUAAGCGCUGAAAGCAUCUAAGCGCCAAGCCUGUCCCAAGAUUAGAUUUCCAUGAGGGACCGGGAAGACCACCCGGUUGAUAGGACGGAAGUGUAAGCGCAGCAAUGCGUUGAGCUAACCGUUACUAAUUACCCGAAAGCUUGAAAAC